rnacentral:rRNA from 1 species
AGUGAACGCUGGCGGCAGGCCUAACACAUGCAAGUCGAACGGCAGCACAGGAGAGCUUGCUCUCUGGGUGGCGAGUGGCGGACGGGUGAGGAAUAUAUCGGAAUCUACCCUUUCGUGGGGGAUAACGUAGGGAAACUUACGCUAAUACCGCAUACGAACUGAGGUUGAAAGCGGCGGAUCGCAAGGCGUCGCGCGGAUGGAUGAGCCGAUAUCCGAUUAGCGAGUUGGCGGGGUAAAAGCCCACCAAGGCGACGAUCGGUAGCUGGUCUGAGAGGAUGAUCAGCCACACUGGAACUGAGACACGGUCCAGACUCCUACGGGAGGCAGCAGUGGGGAAUAUUGGACAAUGGGCGCAAGCCUGAUCCAGCCAUGCCGCGUGUGUGAAGAAGGCCUUCGGGUUGUAAAGCACUUUUGUUGGGAAAGAAAAGCGGUCGGUUAAUACCCGGUCGUUCUGACGGUACCCAAAGAAUAAGCACCGGCUAACUUCGUGCCAGCCGCCGCAGUAA